rnacentral:rRNA from 1 species
AUUGAACGCUGGCGGCAGGCCUAACACAUGCAAGUCGAACGGUAACAGGAAGAAGCUUGCUUCUUUGCUGACGAGUGGCGGACGGGUGAGUAAUGUCUGGGAAACUGCCUGAUGGAGGGGGAUAACUACUGGAAACGGUAGCUAAUACCGCAUAACGUCGCAAGGCCAAAGAGGGGGACCUUCGGGCCUUUUGCCAUCGGAUGUGCCCAGAUGGGAUUAGCUAGUAGGUGGGGUAACGGCUCACCUAGGCGACGAUCCCUAGCUGGUCUGAGAGGAUGACCAGCCACACUGGAACUGAGACACGGUCCAGACUCCUACGGGAGGCAGCAGUGGGGAAUAUUGCACAAUGGGCGCAAGCCUGAUGCAGCCAUGCCGCGUGUAUGAAGAAGGCCUUCGGGUUGUAAAGUACUUUCAGCGGGGAGGAAGGGAGUAAAGUUAAUACCUUUGCUCAUUGACGUUACCCGCAGAAGAAGCACCGGCUAACUCCGUG